rnacentral:rRNA from 1 species
AUUGAACGCUGGCGGCAUGCUUUAUACAUGCAAGUCGAACGGUAACAGGCCGCAAGGUGCUGACGAGUGGCGAACGGGUGAGUAAUGCAUCGGAACGUGCCCAGUCGUGGGGGAUAACGCAGCGAAAGCUGCGCUAAUACCGCAUACGAUCUAUGGAUGAAAGCGGGGGACCGUAAGGCCUCGCGCGAUUGGAGCGGCCGAUGUCAGAUUAGGUAGUUGGUGGGGUAAAGGCUCACCAAGCCAACGAUCUGUAGCUGGUCUGAGAGGACGACCAGCCACACUGGGACUGAGACACGGCCCAGACUCCUACGGGAGGCAGCAGUGGGGAAGUUUGGACAAUGGGCGCAAGCCUGAUCCAGCAAUGCCGCGUGCAGGAAGAAGGCCUUCGGGUUGUAAACUGCUUUUGUACGGAACGAAACGGUCCUGGUUAAUACCCGGGGCUAAUGACGGUACCGUAAGAAUAAGCACCGGCUAACUACGUGCCAGCCGCCGCAGUAAAAC